AUUGAACGCUGGCGGCAUGCCUUACUCAUGCAAGUCGAACGGCAGCACGGGAGCAAUCCUGGUGGCGAGUGGCGAACGGGUGAGUAAUAUAUCGGAACGUGCCCAGUCGUGGGGGAUUACGCAGCGAAAGCUGUGCUAAUACCGCAUACGAUCUAAGGAUGAAAGCGGGGGAUCGCAAGACCUCGCGCGAUUGGAGCGGCCGAUAUCAGAUUAGCUAGUUGGUGGGGUAAAGGCCCACCAAGGCGACGAUCUGUAGCUGGUCUGAGAGGACGACCAGCCACGCUGGAACUGAGACACGGUCCAGACUCCUACGGGAGGCAGCAGUGGGGAAUUUUGGACAAUGGGCGCAAGCCUGAUUCAGCAAUGCCGCGUGCAGGAUGAAGGCCUUCGGGUUGUAAGCUGCUUUUGUACGGAACGAAACGGCCCUUUCUAAUACAGGGGGCUAAUGACGGUACCGUAAGAAUAAGCACCGGCUAACUACGUGCCAGCCGCCGCAGUAA
rnacentral:rRNA from 1 species